rnacentral:rRNA from 1 species
GUCGAACGGCAGCACGGAGCUUGCUCUGGUGGCGAGUGGCGAACGGGUGAGUAAUAUAUCGGAACGUACCCUGGAGUGGGGGAUAACGUAGCGAAAGUUACGCUAAUACCGCAUACGAUCUACGGAUGAAAGUGGGGGAUCGCAAGACCUCAUGCUCGUGGAGCGGCCGAUAUCUGAUUAGCUAGUUGGUAGGGUAAAAGCCUACCAAGGCAUCGAUCAGUAGCUGGUCUGAGAGGACGACCAGCCACACUGGAACUGAGACACGGUCCAGACUCCUACGGGAGGCAGCAGUGGGGAAUUUUGGACA